AUUGAACGCUGGCGGCAGGCCUAACACAUGCAAGUCGAGCGGAGCGGCGGACGGGUGAGUAAUGCCUAGGAAUCUGCCUGGUAGUGGGGUAUAACGUCCGGCAACGGGCGCUAAUACCGCAUACUAUCAGAUGAGCCUAGGUCGGAUGAGCUAGUUGGUGGGGUAAAGGCCUACCAAGGCGACGAUGCGUAACUGGUCUGAGAGGAUGAUCAGUAACACUGGAAAUGAGACACGGUCCAGACUCCUACGGGAGGCAGCAGUGGGGAAUAUUGGACAAUGGGCGAAAGCCGGAUCCAGCCAGGCCGCGUGUGUGAAGAAGGUCUUCGGUUUGUAAAGCACUGUAAGCUGGGAGGCGUUACCAGCAGAAUAAGCACCGGCUAACUACGUGCCAGCAGCCGCGGUAAUAC
rnacentral:rRNA from 1 species